ensembl:misc_RNA Metazoa_SRP Metazoan signal recognition particle RNA
GGCAUCAAUAUGGUGAACUCCUGGGAGCUGGGGACCACCAGGUUGCCUAAGGAGGGGUGAACCGGCCCAGCUCGGAAACGGAGCAGGUCAAAACUCCCGUGCU